rnacentral:tRNA from 1 species
GCCUUCGUGGUGUAGUGGUCAGCAUGCUCGACGCGUAACCGAGAGAUCCGUGGUUCGACUCCCGGCCAAGGCG